CCACGGGCCGCAGCAGUGGGGAAUAUUGGACAAUGGGGGAAACCCUGAUCCAGCAAUGCCGCGUGUGUGAAGAAGGCCUGCGGGUUGUAAAGCACUUUCGGUUGGGAGGACUGCUUCUAGCACUAAUAUUGUUGGAAGUUGACGUUACCUUCAGAAGAAGCACCGGCUAACUCCGUGCCAGCAGCCGCGGUAAUACGGAGGGUGCAACGUUAAUCGGAAUUACUGGGCGUAAAGCGCGCGUAGGCGGCUAGAUCAGUCGGGUGUGAAAGCCCCGGGCUAACCUGGGAACUGCAUCCGAUACUGUCUAGCUUGAGUAAAGGGGAGGAGAGGGGAAUUCCACAUGUAGCGGUGAAAUGCGUAGAUAUGUGGAGGAACACCAAUGGCGAAGGCAGCUCUCUGGCCUGAUACUGACGCUGAGGUGCGAAAGCGUGGGGAGCAAACAGGAUUAGAUACCCCCGUAGUC
rnacentral:rRNA from 1 species